UUAAAACACAAAUUACUUGCCUGUUUAAAAGGACCGUAAAAAUAAAUAAAAAGAUUUUACUUCUGGGCUAUUCUUUAUUAAAAUAAAUAUUUAAUCCUACAUCCCCCAAAAAAUGACCGUUGAAUUGUUAAAAUGACAAUACAGCCCCAUUAUUAAAUAACAUCGAUCAAACUACAAUUUAAAUAGAAAAUGACAGACUCUCUGUUUAAAUCUGGCCCAUGACAGGUUCUCAGCAAGCAGACAGUUUGCUCCAAUGCGUGAGGCUGAGACAAUUCAGGGAAGUAAACAGUACCAUGAAAUUCUGCUUGAACGACAAUGUUUUCCAGAGAUUUGUAGCAGUUACCAGUUCUCCUAUUUCCUUCGGUCACAGAGACUGAGACAGGGUUCAGUAGGACAGCUUGUGAUGAAAUCUUUAGUUCUCUGAAUGCAUCUGCUAAAGCAAUAAGGUAAUGCCGUUGGCAGACAGUAACAGUAUAUUUCCUGUUGGUCUGCAUUUGAACCAUCUGUUAGUUUCUCUCUUCCUCUUUAUGCAACAGAACAUGUGCCUCAGCACUGAGUUUAACACACGCAUGCACUAACACCCUGAAGGGUGAUUCUCAUUCAAUAAUUGAGGUAUUGAAUGUUACUGUUUAACUAGAUACUUUAUUAUUAAAAGUACUUCACUUUCAAUUACUAUAUAUAUAUAGAGAGAGAGAGAGAACAAACAGCAUCACAUCCAGAAUAUAUAACCAACUUUUAUCAAUCACUAGAAAUACUUAGAGAUAUUGAUAAACAGAAAACAACAUUAUCAAUAUACAUAGGCAUUAUAGAGUACAGCCUACCUGAAAAGGAUGUGUCAUGCUCAUGUAUACAGAAUUAUAAUGUUGUCAAUUCUUUCAUAUUUUUAUAUAUUCUACUGUGUGUGCGAGAGGCACGUCCAUUUGAACACGCAUAAUCCAAUUAUAAUGGUUCCAAUUUUAAAAAACAGAUCAGUGUUAACAAUCUUAUACAUACUCCGAUAUUAUAGUACGCUCCCUUAUAUGGCCGCAGGGUAAAGCAAAACUGAAUUUAAAAGACUAUAGAAGUAGCUUAUGCUAUUCGGAAGUUAUAUAAAAAUGUUAUCCAACAGCAUUCAUGUAUAAAUUCUUAUUUCUACCAGAAGGUGGCACUGUUGGUCCACAAUUGCAACAGCUGCUGUAACUAAUUUGCAACUUGUGUGGUUCCAUGUGUUUGUUGUGUGGUGAAGGGAAUUGCGCUUCCCCUGUAUUCACAGUCUGAUUGGCUAACAUGCUGUAAUCGUGCAUUUCAAUAUCUGGCUGGCAGCUUGUGUGUCUGUUUGACUCUCUCUUCCCACAUUAUCUGCUGUGAAGGAGGACAGUAAAAGCAAUGAGGAAGAUAGAGGGAGUGCGCUGCUGUUGUCUUGCAGUCUGGCUGAGCUGGGCUCUGUCUGUGACAGUGCUGAAGGCUGCAGCCCGAAGCCUGUCUCUCAGCCCGGGACAGACAGCCGUCCUGGACUGCAGCAUUGAGAGGGACAGCGGUGAGCUUGUGAGCUGGUACAAGCAGAGCCCUGGGGAUGCGCCUCAGUUUGUUCUCAGUCAUUACCACACCAACAGCUCAGCCGCUAACUACGGCUCCGGAUUCUCCUCCGAGCGCUUCACUGCCGGGGCGAAGGACCCGCUCACCUACCAGCUAGUGAUUCGCAGUGUAGAGUGGAGUGAUGUAGCCGUGUAUUACUGUGGAGCAUGGACUUCAGCACACGGAUAAGGGUGCACUACAGGAAGAAACACACAGACUCAUACCUCUGUUUAAACUGUUAUUCACUAGAGUGGACUACAGUAGUGUGCAGAUGGAGAAGAACACCUCACGAUUAUGAAAUUAAUUUUUGCAUGUUAUUUUUCAUGUUAUGCAUGUUAUGUAAUAAUUUGUUGUUUUAUCAUAAAGCUGAAUCUCUGCUUUAAUUUCUAUCUUUCAAUAGAAC